rnacentral:rRNA from 1 species
GUGUCAGCAGCCGCGGUAAUACGUAGGUGGCUAGCGUUAUCCGGAUUUAUUGGGCGUAAAGAGAGAGUAGGUGGUUUGGCAAGUCAGGUGUAAAAUCUCCCGGCUUAACUGGGAGGGAUCACCUGAUACUGUUAGACUGGAGUGCAGCAGAGGGAGUUGGAAUUCCCGGUGUAGUGGUGAAAUGCGUAGAUAUCGGGAGGAACACCAGUGGCGAAGGCGAGCUCCUGGGCUGCUACUGACACUGAGGCUCGAAAGCGUGGGGAGCGAACAGGAUUAGAUACCCUGGUAGUCCACGCCGUAAACGAUGGAGACUAGGUAUAGGGAGUAUCGACCCUCUCUGUGCCGAAGUAAACGCUUUAAGUCUCCCGCCUGGGGAGUACGGUCGCAAGACUAAA